rnacentral:rRNA from 1 species
GACAGAGGUGCCGAGCGUUAGGCGGAAUCACUGGGCUUAAAGCGUGUGUAGGCGGGUCGUUAAGUGCCUUGUGAAAUCCCACGGCUCAACCGUGGAACUGCUUGGCAUACUGGCGGUCUUGAGCAACCUAGGGGCGAGCGGAACAAAUGGUGGAGCGGUGAAAUGCGUAGAUAUCACUUGGAACGCCAAUGGUGAAAACAGCUCGCUGGGGGUUUGCUGACGCUGAGACACGAAAGCCAGGGGAGCAAACGGG